rnacentral:tRNA from 1 species
GGAUUGUAGCUCAGUGGUAGAGUGCUUGCCUAGCACGUGUGAGGCACUGGGUUCAAUCCUCAGCACCA